UCUGGAUCACUCAUGUGUUUCCACCCCGCCUUCGCCAGGAAGGAACCUCCGUGAGAAGGACAGGGAAAGAUAAUAGCAGCAGUGGCAAAGAACACCAUCCUGAUUCUUCGCCAUGAGACCGGGAAGACCCCGGCCUCUGCUCCCAGUCUUUGCUCUGAUGUCGCCGGCUACCCGUGGGAGGGAGGGAGAAAUGACAUGGUCUGUGAAGAAUGGCCAUGGUAGGAUGCCACGGAGAGAAAGGGAUGCCAGCGAGGAGGAAAGAGAAGGAAUGAAGAGACCCAGAGAGAAUACCGACAGGGCGAUAGGGUAUUAGCUAAGUGUUAACACGAGCUAGUGGCAGAGAUCUAUAGGUGGGUUGAGAUAAUGCUGGUCAGACAGGUGGGUACGAGGAUACAGAGGAAGCAAGUGGUCUGCCUCCAAACACGGCAGGUUCCCCCCCCAUCAUAUCCAUCCCCGCAGCCAAAAGGGUCUUCCGCCUCUCUAGCCAAGCCUGGUGCCAUCCUUAGCAGCUGGGAACGGCGCUAACACGGAGCGAUUAGAAACUUCUCUCUUUAGCGUCUUGGAGUCUUCUUCGGUGGGUUUUGGUUACAGGUUCUACCAUUAGGCUUGCGAGAACAGUAGUGAACUAAACUUCCCAGUGAGAGGUCUUCACACCAGGGAAGUGUGACUUUCCUGCCGCAGCCCUGCCUCGUCACUCAUUAGGACGCCGCAGGUUGUCAGCACCUUCUUCCUCUUCGGCGCGCACACGGGUGUGCACGUUCGCGCGCUCGCGCGCGCGCCCCGAGCCCCAACCCUGAAACUAAAUUAAGAAGCACAUGAUUAAGAGACAAGCGUCUACGGGGCCUGUCAUUUCAGCAUCCUUCCAUCAUAACAUUGUGGCACGGGGAAAUUUGCUUGAAAACCUUUGGAAAAAAAAAUCGAUGGAGGAGCGUGCAUAGCGAGCGAGCGAGCGAGCGAGCGAUUGCGUUUAGAGUCGGAGAACUGCUUGCUCCGGAUUGUCUUCUGAAGAGGAGAGAGAAGAGAGGUUGGCAAGAUCCCAGGGGCUCCCAGAGACUUCUUGGAAACUCCUGUACAGAUCUCUGGGUGAUCUUCAAGCAGGCCUUCCACUUCGUUUGUGGUCUGUGUUUCUCCGCAUCCCCGCCAGUUCUUAAAGGGUUAACUGCUCCGGCGCAAAAUCGGAGGGGCCUCUGGCUCUCUAUUUUGGAAGAAGACUGGAAAAGAGGGGCAGGGGUCCACCCGCCUUCGAGACCUUUUACGAUCCCAGCGGGUUGACUCGGAAAUUCCAUGCUAUCUACGGGAAGUAUUCAAUUUGGAACAAGAAAAUGUUUAAAUGAAAGCAUAAAGAACACAAGAAGAGAAGCUCUAUUGAAGGGCCUGAUCAAAGGUGAAGGUAGUUCAGUACUGUAUUCUAAUCUUGCAUUGGCCAACCAGAUCCCAUUGGGAAGCAUAUAAGGAAGGCAAGAGCAUUAUCCUAUCUGUUUUCCCAAUCAACUAGAUGUAAUAUAGAACCAUAAUAACUGGUAACCAUUCAUGGUCAUAUAGUGGAUGCUGAUGUCUUUCAUGUUAGUGCUCUGGGUUUUAGUCUAAACAUUCAUGCAGCUUUCCAAUAUACCAAGUCCUAUUUUGGGGGAUAGGGUUAAGCACCUUGAACAACUCAUGUAAAGUUCAGAGCAAAAACUGUGUUGAAUUUACAGCCCGAUCCUAACUUGGGAGUCACUAGCCUCCACUGAAGUUAUAUCUUCCACCAAUUUCUCAAAUUCCCCUUUAAAACCACACCUAUUGGCUGCCAUGCCUAGGUCUUUUGGAAGUAAAGCCCAUAACUGAAUUGAGUAAGGAACCACUGUGUGAAGAAAUAGCUU
rnacentral:lncRNA from 1 species